rnacentral:rRNA from 1 species
GUCUCAGGCCGUAUCAGCCUGAAGGGCCCGAUCUCGUCUGAUCUCGGAAGCUAAGCAGGUCGGGCCUGGUUAGGAUCUUGGAUGGGAGACCACCUGGGAAUCCCGGGUGCUCGAGGCU